rnacentral:lncRNA from 7 species
GGAUUUACAAUGUGUUUGGCAAAUAGAUUCCUUCGCAGUCAUGUAAUAUGAUCUAUUAAAUUUUCAGGUAUUUAAGACUUGCUGCAAGUGGCACUGACCUGUUUCCCACUGAGCAUAACUGGAAGAAUUUAAAUAGACGAGUGAGAGAUCAGUGGAUAGUGAUGCACAAAGAUCAUUAUUGUUUCCCAUCGAACCAGCGAUUGGGCCUGCAGCAACGGGACGAGAGCGGACAUGAGCGAGUGGGCCGGCACCCGGCAGUUGGGCUUCAAUUCAAUGAGCCAGAUAGUCGGGGGAGGUAG